AAGUCGUAACAAGGUCUCCGUUGGUGAACCAGCGGAGGGAUCAUUACAGAGUUGUGAAACUCUCACCAUUGUAAACAUUACCUUUACCGUUGCUUCGGUGGGUGGCUCCCUUUCGGGUGCCACGCCCUCCCUUCGGGGUAGGCAGCCCACCAGAGGUACACUAAACUCUCGUAUUAUUUGGCAUCUCUGAGUAACUUAUAAAAUAAGUCAAAACUUUCAACAACGGAUCUCUUGGUUCUG
rnacentral:misc_RNA from 1 species